UACAGAGGGGGCAAGCGUUGUUCGGAAUUACUGGGCGUAAAGGGCGCGUAGGCGGCCUGUUAAGUCGAACGUGAAAUCCCCGGGCUCAACCCGGGAACUGCGUCCGAUACUGGCAGGCUUGAAUCCGGGAGAGGGAUGCGGAAUUCCAGGUGUAGCGGUGAAAUGCGUAGAUAUCUGGAGGAACACCAAUGGCGAAGGCAGCUCGCUGGAACGGUACUGACGCUGAGGCGCGAAAGCGUGGGGAGCGAACAGG
rnacentral:rRNA from 1 species